rnacentral:rRNA from 1 species
UACGAAGGGGCUAGCGUUGCUCGGAAUCACUGGGCGUAAAGGGUGCGUAGACGGGCAGGUAAGUCAGUGGUGAAAUCUCCAAGCUUAACUUGGAACUGCCGUGAUACUAUCUGUCUUGAAUACUGUGGAGGUGAGCGGAAUAUGUCAUGUAGCGGUGAAAUGCUUAGAUAUGACAUAGAACACCAAUUGCGAAGGCAGCUCACUACACAGCCAUUGACGCUGAGGCACGAAAGCGUGGGGAUCAAACAGG